GACGAACGCUGGCGGCGUGCCUAAUACAUGCAAGUAGAACGCUGAAGGAGGAGCUUGCUCUUCUGGAUGAGUUGCGAACGGGUGAGUAACGCGUAGGUAACCUGCCCGGUAGCGGGGGAUAACUAUUGGAAACGAUAGCUAAUACCGCAUAACAGUAGAUGUUGCAUGACAUUUACUUAAAAGGUGCAAUUGCAUCACUACCAGAUGGACCUGCGUUGUAUUAGCUAGUUGGUGGGGUAACGGCUCACCAAGGCGACGAUACAUAGCCGACCUGAGAGGGGGAUCGGCCACACUGGGACUGAGACACGGCCCAGACUCCUACGGGAGGCAGCAGUAGGGAAUCUUCGGCAAUGGACGGAAGUCUGACCGAGCAACGCCGCGUGAGUGAAGAAGGUUUUCGGAUCGUAAAGCUCUGUUGUAAGAGAAGAACGAGUGUGAGAGUGGAAAGUUCACACUGUGACGGUAUCUUACCAGAAAGGGACGGCUAACUACGUG
rnacentral:rRNA from 1 species